UUACUCUUUAACCAGGCCUUUGGCUGAUGAACAUCCAAUGCCAUUUUAAAAUGUGUUCAGGAGGGAGGGGUUACUGGGUUGUUUUUUGUUUUUGUUAUGUAUUUUGAUAUUGUGAUUUUAUGUUGUAAACACCCUGAGACCUGCACAUACAGGGCGGUAUACAAAUUUGUUUGUUUGUUUAGAAUCCUGACAGAAGCCGAGACAUUCAGCAUCAAAUAAGGAGGGGGGUGGAGUUCCUUCCCCAGCUGUGUGUUAGUUAGCAAAAGACAACAACAGAUGAAAGGAAAGGAGAGAAACAAUGGCCCAUAUUGUUUCCUGAUACAGGUCAGUGACUAUAACUGAUUUUCAUCCUCUGAACAUUUGUUCCCAUGACCAUCUAACAGUGUUUCUUUCUAAUUAUACGGUGCUGCCCAUGUGAAAUUGACACCUUCCUUUCUUUAUUGUCGUAGCUGCUGAUCUACUUUUGUGGUGCCUGCUUUAUUGAAAAGCCUGUUGCCUUUCUUUCCUUAAGCACACUGAGUUCUGCAAUCCAGCUUCUGCCUCCUUCCAGUACCUAACGUAUUGCAAAGAGAUGUCAGAUGGUAAUGAAACCACUGUGACCCACUUUGUCCUCUUGGGCUUUGCCAGCAGCCCAGCUAUUCAAGUCGUCCUCUUCAUGGUAUUCCUGAUGCUCUACAGCUUGGUUCUGCUGGGGAACAUUGGGCUGAUGGUUCUGAUCAGAACCAGCCCCCAGCUCCAAUCCCCUAUGUACUUCUUCCUUAGCAAUUUGUCAUUGGUUGACCUCUGCUAUUGCUCUGUGAUUGUCCCAAAGAUGCUCGUCAAUUUCUUGGUAACAAAAAAGGGUAUUUCGUACGCCGGCUGCGGACUGCAGUUUUAUUUCUUCUGCACUUUUGCUGACACUGAGUCUUUCAUCCUCGCUACCAUGGCAUAUGAUCGGUACGUAGCCAUCUGUAACCCACUUCUUUAUACCGUCAUCAUGUCACCAAGGCUCUGCUUCCUGCUGGUUGCCCUCUCUUACCUUGGUGGUACAUUGAGUGCCCUGGUCCACACCUGCUUUGCCUUCAGACUCUCCUUCUGUGGCCCAAAUGUCAUUAACCACUUCUUCUGUGACCUCCCAUUGCUUCUGAAGCUGUCGUGCUCAGACACCUCCCUCAAUGAGCUCCUGCUCUACACAUAUGGAAGCUCAGUGGAAAUCAUGUCCUCCAUCAUCAUCAUAAUCUCCUACGUCCUCAUUGUCAUCUCGGUCCUGAAGAUGCACUCCGCUACGGCAAGAAGCAAGACGUUCUCCACCUGUGCUUCUCACUUGACCUCCGUCAUCAUCUAUGAAGGGACACUCCUCUUCAUCUAUUCCCGCCCCAGCUCCUGGUACUCACCCACCUCUGACAAAUACAUCUCUGUCUUCUACACCAUUGUUAUCCCUGUACUGAACCCCUUAAUCUACAGUCUGAGGAACAAAGAUGUGAAGAAUGCCCUCCGGAGAACAAUAGUCACUAAAGUCUUUGUUCGGGAGUCUCAUGACUGAGAGACUCUCAAAAGAAGAAUCAUAGAAAUGUAUUUAAUUAUUUAUUUGUGGGGAGCAAUUGUUCCUUGUUCCUGGAAUGGCUUAUUCCCAGUCAGUUCUAACAAGACAGUCCAUAAAGUCUAAAAGACAAGACACAAAAAGGGAAAGGUGUGGUGCGGUACAGUGUGGGGACAAAUUCAGGCACCAAUUGUGGGCCCAGGUACAGGGACCAUGUGGCCAAUGGGAGGGAAAUAAUAAGGCAUGAGACAACUGGUAUUGGGUUCAAAAUGGCCACAACUUUAUUGAUUGCAAAUCAAAACUUGAUUAAGUAGGUUUUGGAGAAGGCAUCAGAUAUGUAUCCUGAAUCAACCACCCAGCCUUCUGGUUUAUUAUUUCAUCUGGGUUAACUCUGGGUUAAGUGUCACCCUAUGACAGACAUCAGAUCAAUCCCUCCAGGACUGCCAUUUUGGAUGGGUGCUAUAGCCCAUUGUCCCUCAUCUGGGCUCCUGGACAAAGCACUCCUUACUGGAUCCCUUUAGUGGGGUACUGUCAGGGGCUGGUUGGAUGCAGAGGAAUAGUGGGAGGAAACAACUGGGGAACCCCAAGGGAAGAAGGCUCAGAGCCCAGGCAGACCCUCCAAGUGUCCCUAUUUUCCAGGGACAUCCCUGACUUAGAAAAGCCAUCCCAGUUUCUGAUUUGAUCCCAGAAUGCCCCACUUUUCCUUAGGAUGUCCCUAUUUUCAUUGGAGAAAUGUUGGAGGGUAUGGAGUUAUCAGACCCCCCAAGCCAUUUGAAGGCAAUCCUGUAUAGUUUUUUAAUGUUUAAUGUUUUUAAUGUUUAAAUAUAUGUUGGAAGCUGCCCAAAGUGGCUGGGGCAACCCAGUAGUAUGUGUGGGGUAUAAAUAGUAAAAUUAUCAUUGUGGAAUGGGACACCCCUAUUUUCAUCUGAGAAAUGUUGGAGGGUAUACCCAGGAUGUGGUGGUGGGACAACAAUGAGUGGUCAGAGGAGACUGGAAGGAGGAGGUGUCAGAAGCUGAAGAUGUAACAGGAGUUAGUGAGCUGGGAGAAUCUGUGACAGGAGUCCAGAAGUAGAAGCAGGAGAGUGGGAUGAGGGAGGCCAAGAGGUAGAGAUGAGUCAGGCUGGUGAAGAAACAUGGGUGUCUCCCCCUCCUGCUGUGACAGGCUCCCCUUCCCCACCCUCCCCCAGUCUCCCAGGACCAAGAGAGGCAAUGCAGACAUGCAGGCAGAAUCCCAGAUUGCUUGGAGGAAACCCUGGUGUAAUGAUCUCAGGCAGGCAAGCAAUCUCCAAUAAGAAUUAAUGAGUCUCUGGCAGUUUUAUGUACAUUUAUUUACAAUUUACACGCAGAAAGCGGCUCCAGGCCUGCUGCCAUUAGCUACGAGUUGGUCACCCCCUCCCUGCUAUCAAACAAAGAUCCCUCUAAACACUGCCCAUUUCCUGGAUACAUAGCAACCCCCUCAAUGUCAUCUAUCUCCUCCCCUCCCUCUGCCUGUGAGCUUUCCCAGCCCUUGGUGAGACAAGAGGACUUAGGCAGCUGUAGGAAGGCAGGUAGCUUCAGUCUCCCCAACUGCCUCAUAGGGGUGUUGUAAACAAAAUCUGCCCUUAUUCCCUUAUGGGGUACACAAGAGCCCUUAUAGAGUCCUUUGUAGGUUCUCCAUCGGCAGGAGAAAAUAACAGAGGCCAACCAGAGAAUAUUGUGAAGCAAAGCAGCUAGUAAGCCUGAUCUUUAUUAAAGCUGUUGCAACAGAGCGCUCCCCUCACACGCAGGAGGAGAACCCAGAACAAAGGUAUGCCCGCCCUUAUAUAGACAUUUUGAAAUUCCCUGCCCUGGAGCUCCAGACCACCCCUCCAUACAUCAUACAUACAUCACAGAAGGGGUGUAGCCCAAGACCACCCCCCACAAACAUCAUACCUACAUCACAGAAAAAGUGGUCUACAACAAACAUUUGAAUGUUGUUGUUUUUCCUGUCUGCCAUUUUAUCUGAUAAUGCCUUAUCUGAUUGCCUUUUCUGGUAGUCUGGCCAUUCCUUUGAGAUGGUAAUUACUUAAUUCCUGAGACAAUGGGAAGGUUCCCUCACCCCCUCUCUCCUUGCAGAGAAACAUUUGGU